UACGUAGGGUGCGAGCGUUGUCCGGAAUUAUUGGGCGUAAAGCGCGUGUAGGCGGUCCGGUAAGUCCGCUGUGAAAGUCGGGGGCUCAACCCUCGGAUGCCGGUGGAUACUGUCGGGCUUGAGUACGGAAGAGGCGAGUGGAAUUCCUGGUGUAGCGGUGAAAUGCGCAGAUAUCAGGAGGAACACCAAUUGCGAAGGCAGCUCGCUGGGACGUUACUGACGCUGAGACGCGAAAGCGUGGGGAGCAAACAGG
rnacentral:rRNA from 1 species